GAUGAAGAACGUAGCAAAAUGCGAUAAGUAAUGUGAGUUGCAGAAUUCAGUGAAUCAUCGAAUCUUUGAACGCACAUUGCGCCCGCCAGUAUUCUGGCGGGCAUGCCUGUUCGAGCGUCAUUUCAACCCUCAAGCACAGCUUGGUGUUGGGACUCGCGUUAAUUCGCGUUCCCCAAAUUGAUUGGCGGUCACGUCGAGCUUCCAUAGCGUAGUAGUAAAACCCUCGUUACUGGUAAUCGUCGCGGCCACGCCGUUAAACCCCAACUUCUGAAUGUUGACCUCGGAUCAGGUAGGAAUACCCGCUGAACUUAAGCAUAUCAAUAAGCGGAGGA
rnacentral:misc_RNA from 1 species